GGCGAACGGGUGCGUAACACGUGGGCAACCUGCCCCCGACCCUGGGAUAACCCCGGGAAACCGGAGCUAAUACCGGAUACUCCGACCGAACCACAUGGUGCGGUCGGGAAAGGUCCGCCGGUCGGGGAUGGGCCCGCGGCCUAUCAGCUUGUUGGUGGGGUAACGGCCUACCAAGGCAUCGACGGGUAGCUGGUCUGAGAGGACGACCAGCCACACUGGGACUGAGACACGGCCCAGACUCCUACGGGAGGCAGCAGUGGGGAAUCUUGCGCUAAUGCGCGAAAGCGUGACGCAGCGACGCCGCGUGGGGGACGAAGGCCCUCGGGUUGUAAACCCCUUUCGGCAGGGACGAAGCGAACGUGACGGUACCUGCAGAAGAAGCCUCGGCUAACUACGUGCCAGCAGCCGCGGUAAGACGUAGGAGGCGAGCGUUGUCCGGCAUCAUUGGGCGUAAAGAGCGCGCAGGCGGCUUGGUAAGUCGGAUGUGAAAACCCGGUGGCUCAACCACGGGCCUGCAUCCGAUACUGCCCGGCUAGAGGUAGGUAGGGGAGAUCGGAAUUCCUGGUGUAGCGGUGAAAUGCGCAGAUAUCAGGAGGAACACCGGUGGCGAAGGCGGAUCUCUGGGCCUUACCUGACGCUCAGGCGCGAAAGCUAGGGGAGCGAACAGGAUUAGAUACCCUGGUAGUCC
rnacentral:rRNA from 1 species